rnacentral:rRNA from 1 species
CCUACGGGAGGCUGCAGUGGGGAAUAUUGGGCAAUGGGCGCAAGCCUGACCCAGCAACGCCGCGUGAAGGAAUAAGGCUUUCGGGUUGUAAACUUCUUUUAAGAGGGAAGAGCAGAAGACGGUACCUCUUGAAUAAGCCACGACUAACUACGUGCCAUCAGCCGCGGUAAUACGUAGUUGGCAAGGGUUGUCCGAAUUUACUGGGUGUAAAGGGCGUGUAGCCGGGCUGAAAGAUCAGAUGUGAAAUCCGGGGGCUGAACCCCCGAACUGCAUUUGAAACUGUUGGUCUUGAGUAUCGGAGAGGCAGGAGGAAUUCCUAGUGUAGCGGUGAAAUGCGUAGAUAUUAGGAGGAACACCAGUGGCGAAGGCGGCCUGCUGGACGACAACUGACGGUGAGGCGCGAAAGCGUGGGGAGCAAACAGGAUUAGAUACCCUGGUAGUC